AGCUCGGUAGGGUAGUUGGUAAAGCACUCGUCUAGCAUACAAGAAUCGUGGGUUCCAAUCUCACCUGGGCAC
rnacentral:tRNA from 1 species